AUGAGUAUCCUCAGCUGGAACUGCCGGGGCCUGGGGCAGUCUCGGACAGUUCAAGAGUUGGUGUGCCUCGUGCAGACCUACCGCCCCCGGAUCGUCUUCUUAUCUGAAACAAGGCAAUGUGAGGACAAGGUAAAGGCAAUAAAAUGGAGACUAGGGCUGAAGCAUUGUCUUACCCAUGAUGGUAAAGGCAAAGGAGCCGGCAUUGCUUUGUACUGGGAUGAUUCAAUAAAUAUUAAGAUUUUGUCGUAUGGUCCACGUUAUUUGAUGUGCUUGUGUCUAAUGACCCCAAUGGCCCAAAGUGGCGGGGAACUUUUGUCUAUGGAGAGCCACGUGCACAAGACCGACACCACAUGUGGUCGCUUCUCAAGCGGAUUCGACCAAAUGCGAGUGAACCUUGGAUGA
rnacentral:rRNA from 1 species